CUGCCAUCGAUUGUGGUCACACCGUUGCUGUUGCGCCCUGUUUUUGUUGAUAGAGCCACUGUUGAGAGUCUGUCGUCAGAGAAGCAUCGUCGGCGUUGCUGCUGCAAACUAUUUCAGCUACUGCCCUGGGAGUGAGAACGCCGUCGAACAGAAUGUGAGAAGGGAGAGGAGUUGUGUUCUUUAGCUGUCGCCGUCGUUGCCGAAACCAAGACAAAUUUACCGGAGAUAGUGUUGAUGAUAAUAAAGAACUGUUAGAGUUGCUGCUGCUGCUGCUAGUUUGGUUCGAGUCUGUUGCUGCUACAAACUAAAACAAAAGAGGGGUUUGCUGCGCUUAAUUAUCGAAUUUCGGCUAAUCGUGAACUGAUGAGGUAAUCAACACUCAAUUGAUGGUUUCUUGGUAAAUUCUCCAAAAAUGGG